GAUGAAGAACGUAGCGAAAUGCGAUAAGUAAUGUGAAUUGCAGAAUUCAGUGAAUCAUCGAAUCUUUGAACGCACAUUGCGCCCGCCAGCAUUCUGGCGGGCAUGCCUGUUCGAGCGUCAUUUCAACCCUCAAGCUCAGCUUGGUGUUGGGGCCUGCUGCACUGGCAGCCCUUAAAAUCAGUGGCGGCGCCAUCUGGCUCUAAGCGUAGUAAUUCUUCUCGCUAUGGAGUCCUGGUGGAUGCUUGCCAUCAACCCCCAAUUUUUCUAUGGUUGACCUCGGAUCAGGUAGGGAUACCCGCUGAACUUAAGCAUAUCAAUAAGCGGAGGA
rnacentral:misc_RNA from 1 species